CCUCAGAUCCAGGAGGGACACAGCAGAUGCCCCCUGGAGCAAUUGUCAGAUGCCGAUGAGAGCAAUUGCAAGAUGCCCCCAUAAGUAGCCCAGGCAGCUGCCUCCCUCUGAACUUUGUGGAAGCAUCUUUCUGGUCCUUGUCUUUCACCCACUGCCAGGGGUGUGAUUGUAUAUGCAGUCCUUGAAGCUUGAACAGGCAUCUUCCUUUGUCCCAGAGAUGAUGGAAAGUUUGAGACUUUGAUCCCUGGUGCUAUUGUGCAGGAUGGAUAAAAACCGCAAUGCUCAGACAAACCAGAUGCAUUUUAUGGUACAGCAUAAAAGGACAACACAG